AGUGCAUAUGGUGGAUGCCUUGGCGAUUACAGGCGAUGAAGGACGUGAUAAUCUGCGAAAAGUUUCGGGGAGCUGAUAAAUAAGCUUUGAUCCGGAAAUAUCCGAAUGGGGAAACCCACCCGCAAGGGUAACCGCUCCUGAAUAUAUAGGGAGAUGGUGGCAAACCCGGUGAACUGAAACAUCUAAGUAGCCGGAGGAAAAGAAAUCAACCGAGAUUCCGUAAGUAGUGGCGAGCGAACACGGAACAGCCUGUUAUUUUUAGCAUGUGCGAUAGUAGAACGGAAUGGAAAGUCCGGCCAUAGAGGGUGAUAGCCCCUUAUACGAAAUCCCGCGUGUGGAACUAAGAUAACGACAAGUAGGGGGGGCACGAGAAACCUUGUCUGAACAUGGGGGGACCAUCCUCCAAGGCUAAAUACUCGUAAUCGACCGAUAGUGAACUAGUACCGUGAGGGAAAGGCGAAAAGAACCCCGGGAGGGGAGUGAAAUAGAUCCUGAAACCGUAUGCAUACAAACAGUGGGAGCGGACUUGUUCCGUGACUGCGUACCUUUUGUAUAAUGGGUCAGCGACUUACAUUCAGUAGCAAGCUUAACCGAUAGGGGAGGCGUAGCGAAAGCGAGUCCGAAUAGGGCGUACAGUUGCUGGGUGUAGACCCGAAACCAAGUGAUCUAUCCAUGGCCAGGUUGAAGGUGCCGUAACAGGUACUGGAGGACCGAACCCACUAAUGUUGAAAAAUUAGGGGAUGAGCUGUGGAUAGGGGUGAAAGGCUAAUCAAACUUGGAGAUAGCUGGUUCUCUCCGAAAACUAUUUAGGUAGUGCCUCGUAUAUCAUUCUCGGGGGUAGAGCACUGUUAUGGCUAGGGGGUACAUACGUACUUACCAAACCAUUGCAAACUCCGAAUACCGAGAAAUGCAAUUACGGGAGACAGACUGCGGGUGCUAACGUCCGUAGUCAAGAGGGAAACAACCCAGACCGACAGCUAAGGUCCCAAAUGACGUGCUAAGUGGAAAACGAGGUGGGAAGGCACAGACAGCCAGGAGGUUGGCUUAGAAGCAGCCAUCCUUUAAAGAAAGCGUAAUAGCUCACUGGUCGAGUCGUCCUGCGCGGAAGAUGUAACGGGGCUAAGCACGUAACCGAAGCUUCGGAUACUAAUUUAUUAGUAUGGUAGGAGAGCGUUCUGUAGGCCUGUGAAGGUGUUCUGUGAGGAAUGCUGGAGGUAUCAGAAGUGCGAAUGCUGACAUGAGUAGCGAUAAAGGGGGUGAAAAGCCCCCUCGCCGAAAGCCCAAGGUUUCCUGCGCAACGUUCAUCGGCGCAGGGUGAGUCGGCCCCUAAGGUGAGGCAGAGAUGCGUAGCUGAUGGGAAAUAGGUUAAUAUUCCUAUACCUCUAUACAAUGCGAUGUGGGGACGGAGAAGGUUAGAUCAGCCGGGUGUUGGAUGUCCCGGUUCAAGCGAGUAGGUUGGUUCUUUAGGCAAAUCCGGAGAGCUAAGACCGAGACGUGAUAACGAGUGUACUUUGUACAUGAAGUGAUUGAUACCAUGCUUCCAAGAAAAGCCACUAAGCUUCAGUUGUAUAAGACCGUACCGCAAACCGACACAGGUGGGCAGGAUGAGAAUUCUAAGGCGCUUGAGAGAACUCUAGAGAAGGAACUCGGCAAAAUAACACCGUAACUUCGGGAGAAGGUGUGCCCCGGUAGUGUGUAGCGAUUUACUCGUGAAGCAUGAUGGGGUUGCAGUGAAAAGGUGGCUGCGACUGUUUAAUAAAAACAUAGCACUGUGCUAACACGAAAGUGGACGUAUACGGUGUGACGCCUGCCCGGUGCUGGAAGAUUAAAUGAUGGGGUGCAAGCUCUUGAUUGAAGUCCCAGUAAACGGCGGCCGUAACUAUAACGGUCCUAAGGUAGCGAAAUUCCUUGUCGGGUAAGUUCCGACCCGCACGAAUGGCGUAACGAUGGCCACACUGUCUCCUCUAGGGACUCAGCGAAGUUGAAGUGGUUGUGAAGAUGCAAUCUACCCGCGGCUAGACGGAAAGACCCCAUGAACCUUUACUGCAGCUUUACAUUGGACUUUGAUAACAUCUGUGUAGGAUAGGUGGGAGACGUUGAAAUAGGGACGCUAGUUCUUAUGGAGUCACCCUUGAAAUACCACCCUGGUGUUGUUGAGGUUCUAACCUUGGUCCAUUAUCUGGAU
rnacentral:rRNA from 1 species